UUCAACAAUUUGGCGAAAGCAUCUUUAAAAACAAGUGAACCAUCAUUGUACCUGCCAUUUCUUUUUGGGCAUGGUAACCAUUUAAUCCGAAAGGAGUUCUUCUAAAGGAACGGGACCAUUCUGACAACGAUCGUAGGAUAACUUCCAUUCACUUUCGUACGUUCACGAAGCUCUUUUAUUUUCCGUUGACUCUCUCCAUAUAGAGGUUCGCAUUUAUUCUUGUGUAAAAACGUACCACCCAUUAGUUUAUUAUUUUAGAGUUCACGUAUUGGGGUCAAGAACUACGAUCCGACUGUUUACCUGUGAAACGAAACUAUAGACCACAUUGUGUUGCGGAUAAGGGGGCAUAGGAAAGUAAAUCGACUAAGUACUGGAGUGCAGUGUGUACGAUCUAGCAUCAAACCAUUGAAAUAACUUAAUGGCCGAGUCGUACAUAUCUUGAAGCCGCUACCUUACUUCCGACACUUUGUGUAACACUUACAGCAGCAUUUGUCAUUCAACGUGCAACCAUAUACCAGGACCUGUGGAAAAGAAGACCUAAAUAUUGAUCGUACGGUGAUGUAGCAUUGUUAAACCUUUUUGUAAAUUUGUGUGUUUGCAUUUGACCCACCUCGGUGGUGAUCAAUUGAUAAUUGGCCUGCAUAGAGCCAAGAUUAUUACUGUUAAUUGGUAAGCUUGACAUUUUUGGGGUACAAUAUUUUAGCUAGUCAAAAGAUUACUCUCGUUAUGGAGUGAUAACAAUUUAUGUAAGGUACGAACGAGCUCGUAAGAACCGAAUAAUUUCAUUGCCCAC